GACGAACGCUGGCGGCGUGCCUAAUACAUGCAAGUAGAACGCUGAAGGAGGAGCUUGCUUCUCUGGAUGAGUUGCGAACGGGUGAGUAACGCGUAGGUAACCUGCCUGGUAGCGGGGGAUAACUAUUGGAAACGAUAGCUAAUACCGCAUAAGAGUAGAUGUCGCAUGACAUUUGCUUAAAAGGUGCAAUUGCAUCACUACCAGAUGGACCUGCGUUGUAUUAGCUAGUUGGUGAGGUAACGGCUCACCAAGGCAACGAUACAUAGCCGACCUGAGAGGGUGAUCGGCCACACUGGGACUGAGACACGGCCCAGACUCCUACGGGAGGCAGCAGUAGGGAAUCUUCGGCAAUGGACGGAAGUCUGACCGAGCAACGCCGCGUGAGUGAAGAAGGGUUUCGGAUCGUAAAGCUCUGUUGUAAGAGAAGAACGAGUGUGAGAGUGGAAAGUUCACACUGUGACGGUAUCUGACCAGAAAGGGACGGCUAACUACGUG
rnacentral:rRNA from 1 species